CAUCUUACAUGCAGUCGAAUUAAAAAUGUGAAGAGAGAACAAAGAAGAAAUGACAACUUAUUAGAGAAGCUUUAAUGCAGAAACUGGAGCAAUACUGCAGUUUUCUGCUCAGCUGACACGUUGCUGUUCUGUCCGUGAGAGGUAAGACACUAGUGAAAUGGUGUAGGACGAGGGCAAAUUAUGUUAAAGGCCUCAGGCAACCUUGUGUGUGUGUUUGAUCUGUUAGUUAUACUAAAUACAGUAUGUAAAGGAAUGUAUUGAUUGAUUUAAAGAGAGAACAAAAA